rnacentral:snRNA from 1 species
UCUAUUGCAUUUUACUCUUGAUAGGUUAGAAUAAAAUUGAAACUAUACAUAGAAGAUUAGCAUGGCCCAUGGACAAGGAUGAUACACACAAAUCUAAAAAUGGUCCAAAAGGUU